rnacentral:rRNA from 1 species
UACGUAGGGUGCGAGCGUUAAUCGGAAUUACUGGGCGUAAAGCGUGCGCAGGCGGUUUUGCAAGCCGGAUGUGAAAUCCCCGGGCUCAACCUGGGAAUGGCAUUCGGGACUGCAAGGCUGGAGUGCGGCAGAGGAGACUGGAAUUCCUGGUGUAGCAGUGAAAUGCGUAGAUAUCAGGAGGAACACCGGUGGUGUAAACGGCUUUCUGGACCGUAACUGACGCUGAUGCACGAAAGCGUGGGUAGCAAACAGG